AAAGUUUGACAGACGAUCGCUGGCGGCUUCGGCCGCGAGAGGAAAGUCCGGGCUCCAUAGGGCGGGAUGCUGGAUAACGUCCAGUCAGCGCGAGCUGAAGGCUAGUGCCACAGAAAUGGACCGCCGAUGGCUGCCGCAGCGCCGCAAGGCUCUGCAGUAUGCACAGGUAAGGGUGGAACCGUGGUGUAAGAGACCACGAGGAGUCAUGGUGACAUGAUUCCUGGUAAACCCCAUUUGGAGCAAGACCUAGAGGAACGCACGUCCCGCGAGGGUCAGCCUUUGCCCGAGGCGCGUUCGGGUUGGUCGCUUGAGCCAUGCAGCAAUGUAUGGCCUAGAUAGAUGAUUGUCGCUUCCGUCGUGGGAGGGUGGCUCCCGUUAUACCACUGGAAGUACAGAACCCGGCUUACGGCAAACUUUCUUU
rfam:Paenibacillus mucilaginosus 3016, complete genome.